UACGGAGGGUGCAAGCGUUGUCCGGAAUCACUGGGCGUAAAGGGCGCGUAGGCGGCCCGGUAAGUAGGGGGUGAAAUCCUGCGGCUUAACCGCAGGGCUGCCUUCUAAACUGUCGGGCUCGAGCACGGUAGAGGCAGAUGGAAUUCCCGGUGUAGCGGUGGAAUGCGUAGAGAUCGGGAAGAACAUCAGUGGCGAAGGCGGUCUGCUGGGCCGUUGCUGACGCUGAGGCGCGACAGCGCGGGGAGCAAACAGG
rnacentral:rRNA from 1 species